UUUUUUUUUAACCCGACAAUAAGGGAUUCAUGUGAUGAUAUACAACUGAUGGAAUUCACUUGUAUAACUGGAUUUUAUAGAAUAAGAGGUCACAUAUCAUCAUAUAUGCCAUUAAAGUAACAGUUACAUGUUCUUGAAAGCCAGUAUACACCACUAUAAAUUUGAACAUUUCAUUUGGAUGCUCUGAAUAGUGUCUGUGUCUUGGUCUCAUAGAAGUACCAGUGGCUUCUAUGAGAAGCACCAAUGGCUUAUAUGGGCCAGCUACUCAAAAGGCUGUCAGUACCUCUGGGUUGCCUGAGGUUGUGCUACUGCAUCAGCCUUCAGUGAUUCCCAAGGGCCUUUCCAGAGCUUCUCUCUGUGGUUAGAGCCCUGUUUAGGCUAUUUCUGAAAUGGUGCAGCCUCAAAUUACCCCCGCCCAAAAGAAAAAGUAACACAACAUACUUAGCAGGCACUGGCCUAAGCAUUUACAUGCUCUAUUUCAUACAGUCUUGUCAGGUCAUAGGUAGGCACUCCUGUUGGUAUUGGCAAUAAGGUAACGGGAGGGCAGAGGCAUUAAACCACAUAUUCAAGUCAUACAGUCAAUGAAUUGUAGAGGCCAAGACCUCAACCCAGGUGCUAGGAAGGAACACAAAUAUUCCUGGAGUAAGUUUUGGUUACUAGUUCAGGAAAUAAAAUUGUGCAGACCUUCUGGAGGUAGGGGAGGAUUCCAGUUUAGAGUUUUGCAAGCAGUUGUGAUUUUUAAAAACUGUUCCAUAUUUUUACCUUUCUGAUUAACCUAUGUCUUGUCCCCCUAACCCACAGGAAUAUCGAAAACAGAAAAAAAGGUGAAAUUGGAAGAAAAAAGCUCCACUGCAUUUGGUGUCAGGAGUUGGGAUUUUUUCAACACUGCUAAUGAAGAUCCCCUCUUAUAGUCCAAUAAGCUAAGCAAGAGUUCCAGACUCAUGACACGAACAGUUUAAUUGAAUGCGUCCACUCUGGGCAGGUAAAAGGAAAGAGAAGGAUAAGGAGAGAAAGGAGAAAAGAGACAAAGAUCACUACAAACCAAAGCAGAAGAAAAAGAAGAAGAAGAAAAAGAAAUCCAAGCAGCAUGGUGAGUGUGCUGAAAUGUGCUCCAAGGUGUUCUGAGAUUGUCCUCUCUCCUUUCCCACCAAGUAGAGGAUGAGCUGAGCACUCACUGCGUUGUUAAGAGCUGAGAUAUUCCUGUAACUUGCCUUUGUCUCCUCAUUCCAAAAUCACACAACUCUGUUCUGUAAACUAAGUCCCAACUGGCUGUCGACUUUUAUUUCUAACAUUGUGGUGGGGUAAGUACUAUAACCACAAAGCUUUAACAUGAUGAAGGUUUAUUUCCCCACUGUGUAUGUGUUUAUGUUCUUUUUUUUCUUUCUGGUGUGUGUGUAUAUGUACACUGUCAUGUACACAUAUGUACUUGGCCAUCCAUGCGUGUGUGGAGGCCAGGGGUCAACAUGGUAUCUUCUUAUAUAGUUCUCUCUUAUUUUUGAGACAGGGUCCUUCACUGAACCUGAAACCAAAGCUUGGCAUUUCAUCUAAACUAGCUAUCCAAGAAUCCUCUGCAGUCUUCAGCUCUGCUGUCUGUCUGUCUGUCUG